rnacentral:lncRNA from 1 species
UAAACCACAGAGCCUAGGACUUGCUGUUCAGAAGGUUGGCGGUUCGAAUCCCCGCGAUGGGGUGAGCUCCCAUUGCUCGGUCCCUGCUCCUGCCCACCUAGCAGUUCGAAAGCACGUCAAAGUGCAAGUAGAUAAAUAGGUACCACUCCGGCGGGAAGGUGAACAGUGUUUCCGUGCGCUGCUCUGGUUCGCCAGAAGCGGCUUAGUCAUGCUGGCCGCAUGACCCGGAAGCUGUACGCCGGCUCCCUCGGCCAAUAAAACGAGAUGAGAGCCGCAACCCCAGAGUCGGCCACGACUGGACCUAAUAGUCAGGGGUUCCUUUACCUUUACCUUUACCCACAAUAGUUAUAGUCUGCCUCCAUGGUAGGGGACAGUAAUAUUUUUGAAUACUUUUGAAGAGGAGGUAGAAGAGAUAGAGGAGAUAUGAUAACCAGCUUUCUUUCUCCUGCUCCGGAGGGUAGGACCUGAACCAAUGGAAUCAAGUUACAAGAAAGGAGAUUCUGACUAAACAUCAGGAAGAACUUCCUGACAAUGAGAGCUGUUUGAAAGUGGGAGGCUGUCAAACCUUCCUUGCAGGUUUUUAAGCAGAGGUUGAGCGGCCAUCUGUCAUGGACACUAGUUGAGAUUCUUGCAUUGCAGGGGGCUGGACUAGAUGAUCCUUGGGGUCCCUUCUAAUUCUAUGAUUCUAUGGCUAUCAGUUGCUCAUUUAUUUAGGGUUUCACCCAUUAGGGCUAUGCUCUGCCUCCAACGUUGGAGACAGCAAUUCUUCUGAAUAUUAGUUACUGGAAACCACAGGAGAGGAGAGUGCUCUUGUGCUUAGCUCCUGCUUGCCUGCUUUCCCAUAGGCAUCUGGUUGGCCACUGUGAGAACAGGAUGUUGGGCUAGAUGGGCCAUUGGUCUGAUCCAGCAGUGAUUUUCUUACGUUCUUAUUUUUUUGCGGCCUUUUCAGAGAAUGGCAGCUGUGGCCAAUUUGUCAGUUUCCAUGCACUGGCUGUCCGUGUAACAAUAUGGGCCUGUGCUAGAGCCAACAUAGGUGUGUAUCUUGCUGUUGCAAGAGCUUCGAAGGAGGUACACAAAAAGCAUAUCCAAACUGGUUUUGCAUGUGCCACUGAUAAACUGAUGAUCAUUAGUGAAGUGAGAGCUCCGGGACAGAACAGGAGGUGCCAUGCUCAAUCCUUGGCAGAGGUGGGGAACAUUUUUCAGCAUGAAGACUUCAUUCCCUUCUGGAGAUCACAUGCCAAUGGUGGGCGGAGCCCAGGGCAAAGGUGGGCGGAGCAAUUAAUGUGAACGUUACCUUCAUGCAAUAGGCUAGUUUCUACACACAGUCACAUGCCCCUCUCUUUCCCCUAUUCAGGCAAGCAAGAGGCCUUAUCAGAGUUCAAGGGCACAUUUCAGCCAGGCAAAAACACUUCACGGGGGCCAAAGCUAGGCCCUGAAAAUCCCUGACAUGUUCUGGGUUUUGGGUGUAAAAAUGGCAUUGGGGAAUUUUGCGAAAUUGGAUGUAUGGCAUGGCAGCACGAUGGGAAAAGCUCCAGAAAGCUCAACAAAUUUGUGGGUGUCAAGAAUUUUACUUUUUCAGAUACGGAAACCCCAGCCAAAGCAUGACUGGGGAGGGAUGUGACCUGGAGAGAGUCUCCAGGGCCAAAUAAAGAAUCCUGGGAGGCUGCAUUUGUCCCUCACCUGGACCUGAGGCUCCCAGUCUGAGUUAAAAGCAUCAGGUAACAUGUACUGGGAAAUAUUUCUGUUUGAGGCCCCAGCGAAUGGCUGUUAAUCACAGAAUCAUAGAACUGUAGUGUUGGAAGGGACCAUGAGGGUCAUCUGGUCACAAGCAUUUGUUCAAAGCUCAUCUGUUUCCCCCCAGUUCAUAACGUGGUGCAUGAAUGCUGAUUUUGCAGCAUGCACGAGCAUUAUCAUAUCUCUCACCUGGAAUUUUAGCAUAAUUAGCUAACUGACUAUUGAAGUGACAGCGGAUGCUCUGUGACACCAUUGCUUGGACAUUCCCUUGGUCUAUCUGUUCACAUAAUCAAGGGUGCAGGACGUUCUAGCGAUGUAGCAGAGGACAACUUGGUAGGACACCUAAAGGAAUAGGACUUGAUGGAAUGGUUUAGACAGGAAAGCAGUUACAUCAGAGAAGAUGUUUAGCAUUGCUAAACCAUCACUAUACUUCUUCAUGUAAUACUUCACUCAAAAAUCAUUACAUGGAAACAAACAGCUUUAAUAACAGCACUGAAAACACUGCCAACUAGAAAUUUGUGUGAUAUUUAAUAGCGCCAUCUGGUGACUCCUCCUCAGUAUUACAAAGCAAUGAAUUAUAAUAUGCUAAGUACUUUGUCAAAAGGGAUGCGGGUGGCGCAGUGGGUUACACUACAGAGCCUAGGGCUUGCCGAUCAAAAGGUCGGCGGUUCGAAUCCCCAUGACGGGGUGAGCUCCUGUUGCUCGGUCCCUGCUCCUGCCAACCUAGCAGUUUGAAAGCACGUCAAAGUGCAAGUAGAUAAAUAGGUACCACUCCGGCAGGAAGGUAAACAGCGUUUCCGUGCGCUGCUCUGGUUUGCCAAAAGCGGCUUAGUCAUGCUGGCCACAUGACCCGGAAGCUGUACGCCGGCUUCCUCGGCCAAUUAAGUGAGAUGAGCGCCGCAACCCCAGAGUCGGUCACGACUGGAGCCAAUGGUCAGGGGUCACUUUACCUUUAAGUACUUUGUCUUGUGGCCAGUUCAGGGACCUUGGUAGCCAUUGGGCUCAGAGGUCAGUUGGGAUCAGGGCCAGAUUUAGGUUUGAUGAGGCCCUAAGCUACUGAAGGUAAUGGGGCCCUUUAUAUGUCCAGCUGUCAUUUGUCAGCAACAAAUUGUCAUUUUUGUGUGUGCUGAAUAUAUGCUAUAUGGGAAUUUAUGGACCUAAUAGGUAUCUAAAGCCCUUUGCAUAUGCAGAAUGCAAACACCCUAUAUAUAGAAAUGAGCAAACUAGUGAUAUUUUAGGGAGCAGGCUACCAGGCAGGGCCCAUUACUUACAUCAUAGGAGCCUACACAACACAAAACACUUGCUGUAUAUAGUUUUUAUUUUAUUUGUUUUUUAUCUUAUAUUUUGGAAAUGUACUUCCAGUUUUUUCCCCUUUAAUUUUUUUGGGGGCCCCCAAGAGAGUGGGGCCCUAAGCUAUAGCUUGUUUAGCUUAUACGUAAAUCUGACACUGGUUGGGAUGCCUGUGUUAACAUUUAGCCUGUGGAUGUUUAAAUGUGCUUUGGAAGGCAUCCCCCCCCCCCCAGUGCAUCCUGCAGUAGUUUAAAAGCUGAGUCAUGUAUAUUAUAGUGGUUGCACACAACUGCUAAAUUAGGGGUAACAUGAACAUAAUGUUCCCAAGGUUGUGCUCCACCCCAAUCUCUGCCAAGUGGUAGCAGAAUUCCAGGGACAUCCAGGCACUUACCCUGGGUCUUGUUUCCAUUGGGAAUCAAGAUGCCACGGAAACUUUUGUGUCUUUAACGAAAUAUGGUGCAUUAACAGAUAUUUACAGCCUGGGUGCAGUUGGGAGAACUGCAGAGUUUACAGAAUUGCAUCUCAAGAGGACUUCGUCCUUCAGCGUUGCAUUCAGAAGCUCUCUAUGCACCUUCUCUGUGCUUCUGCCCCAAUAUCAGGGACCAGCAGGACGCUGACGAAUGUGCACCAGAUGUGGGACUGGAGUCUGAUUCGGGAGAGGGAGUCAGAGAUUUGUGGUGACCUGUACCAGCCAGGAGGCAACAGUCAGAGGCAGGGGAUGCUACAGAGCUGGAAGGUGGAGCACAGGAUGGAUCAGAAGAAGAGGAGGAAGAGAAGCGAAGGACUGGGUGCUUCCUCACCCUCUCCUGUACCACUGCCUCCAGAACCAGGAGGAGAUUGUUUAUGCUGUUGACAGAUAGGGCCAUGAUUAUUAUACUGUAGAAUUCAUUGCAUGGUUAUCUAUAGGGUUGUAACUAUUGACAGUUUUGUUGGUUAUUAUGCUCUCAAUAUGGACCAUUUGUCAUUUUUUAAAAAUUCUUCUGGCUUUUGUUUAAGCCACCUUGAGACCUCUGGUAUAAGGUAAUAGGCAAGUUAAAUUAAUAAAUAAAUUACUCAUGUACAUACACAGCUAAACCUGGAUUUAUUGAGAUACG